CAACUCAGACGUGGAUGUGGAUUCAGACACCACUUUUGUUACAAUGAACCGAGAACUUGCCCACGAGCGUCGACCAAACUGAUGUCAUCUACGAAGACUCUCCACAUGUUGUUGCCAAUUGUUUUAUUGUUUCUCCGAGCAACGUAUGCUGCCGAAGAUGUGGAAGCUAGGCGAGAUCGACAAGGAUGUGACAUACGGCAAGAUAUUUGCGGAUAUCCUGAUAGUAUGUAUAUUUGUUUUCAUUAUGUGCGCUACAUUUCGGUCAUUGCUCCCACAUUGUGAAUGACCCAUAUAGUUCUUCAACAUUGUUUGUAAGAAAUGCCGGUUAAUGUAUUAUUAGACAC
rnacentral:lncRNA from 1 species